GCGUGAGUGAUGAAGGCCUUCGGGUCGUAAAACUCUGUCCUCAAGGAAGAUAAUGACGGUACUUGAGGAGGAAGCCCCGGCUAACUACGUGCCAGCAGCCGCGGUAAUACGUAGGGGGCUAGCGUUAUCCGGAUUUACUGGGCGGAAAGGGUGCGUAGGCGGUCUUUCAAGUCAGGAGUGAAAGGCUACGGCUCAACCGUAGUAAGCUCUUGAAACUGGGAGACUUGAGUGCAGGAGAGGAGAGUGGAAUUCCUAGUGUAGCGGUGAAAUGCGUAGAUAUUAGGAGGAACACCAGUU
rnacentral:rRNA from 1 species